rnacentral:rRNA from 1 species
UGGGGAAUAUUGCACAAUGGGCGAAAGCCUGAUGCAGCAACGCCGCGUGAGGGACGACGGCCUUCGGGUUGUAAACCUCUUUUAGCAAGGAAGAAGCGAAAGUGACGGUACUUGCAGAAAAAGCGCCGGCUAACUACGUGCCAGCAGCCGCGGUAAUACGUAGGGCGCAAGCGUUAUCCGGAAUUAUUGGGCGUAAAGAGCUCGUAGGCGGUUUGUCGCGUCUGCUGUGAAAACCCGAGGCUCAACCUCGGGCCUGCAGUGGGUACGGGCAGACUAGAGUGCGGUAGGGGAGAUUGGAACUCCUGGUGUAGCGGUGGAAUGCGCAGAUAUCAGGAAGAACACCGAUGGCGAAGGCAGAUCUCUGGGCCGUAACUGACGCUGAGGAGCGAAAGGGUGGGGAGCAAAACAGGCUUAGAUACCCUGGUAGUCCACCCCGUAAACGUUGGGAACUAGUUGUGGGGUCCAUUCCACGGAUUCCGUGACGCAGCUAACGCAUUAAGUUCCCCGCCUGGGGAGUACGGCCGCAAGGCUAAAACUCAAAGGAAUUGACGGGGUCAUAGCUGUUUCC